UUACUGAUACCCAGCCAGCUUACGUGGUGCAUCGUGAAUGGGUCCUGUUUCUCCUCACAGGGACAGGAAGCAUUUUCCUGUUGGCUCUUCAAACAGCAACAGUCAGGGAGAUCCUUCAAAGGGCGGCAAGAGGAAAAUCCAGCCUGCACCCAGAGAGACAGUUCACAAGACUGUCUCCUUCUCAGCCCAGAAUUUACCUGCCAUAUCAGUGGCAGUCAAGGAGAAACGCUCUUCAUCCAGCGAGGAGAAGGAGGAGGAAGAGGAGGAUUUUGCUCCUCAUGGAAGGCAGCCCCCAACUGCAGAGCCAAAACCCAGAGUCUUCAAGACAGCUCUGGAUACAACAAUUCCUACGGUGGCACUGAUAGGACAGAAGAGUGCUCGAUCUAAAUACGGCUUCAAGCACAUGGCUUACCUACCUACCACUACUGACAUGCAGCUUAGGAGAUACUGUCCUGCUAGAUGAUGCAUUGAUUAAUAGGUGACACAGGAAACUUGCACAUGGGUUCUUAAAUACAUGCCAUGCUGCUCCAGUGAAUGUGCUGCCACUUGGCUUAUUUCAGCAAGGGGAGAAGAGUCAAUAAUGGGGGGGGGGGGCUACCCGCAAGGCACAUGUGCUACCCGCAAGGCUGUUAUUUAUCACUUGAGAACUCCACAAAGAGCAAAGUCAGGACACUGUAGGAAAGAUAAUUGUAGAGUGGCCUUUGGUGGCUCCAGUUCCCACCCUUCCAGUCAGGAGGCCCAUGGUGAAGGCUAAGAGUAAGGUCUGCUGGUGAUGUGUUCCUCAUCUGACGACAGUAGAGUUACUGGGCAGGAGAGAAGGUCUCUAUAACUGAGAUGAAUGACGACAAAGGUCAGAAAUGGAAGGGAUUGCUCCCACUGAGCCCACGAAGGCACUUCCCAAAUGUCUCUUACUCUACUCGUGUACAAUGGUCCCUGUUAACUUACCAGUCCAUAGACAAAAACAUUACUGAUCAUUUCUCCCUGUCCCCCACCACAGGAAUACAGUGGAGAGGCCCCUUGCAUGAUAAUGGUACAGAACCAAGCCUUUGUUUUCCUGGAAAAGAUCCCAUAGCCAUUUGCAGAAGUGGCUUCUAAAUCGGUGACCAGUUUCUGUGCAGAUCAGGCAGACAAACCCAGUUGCCUGAUUUGCAAGCCCAAACCCCAUUUAUGCAUGAGAAUGUAGGAUUCUGCACAUACAAAGUCACAAGCACAAAUUGAGAGAGUAGUUAGGGGCCAUUUGGAGCAGGUGGUCCUAAAUACCACACACUUUU
rnacentral:lncRNA from 1 species